UACAGAGGUCUCAAGCGUUGUUCGGAUUCAUUGGGCGUAAAGGGCGCGUAGGCGGCGGGGUAAGUCGGGUGUGAAAUCUCAGAGCUCAACUCUGAAACUGCACUCGAUACUGCUUUGCUAGAGGACUGGAGAGGAGAUUGGAAUUCACGGUGUAGCAGUGAAAUGCGUAGAUAUCGUGAGGAAGACCAGUGGCGAAGGCGGCUCACUGGCCCGGUACUGACGCUGAGGUGCGAAAGCGUGGGGAGCAAACAGG
rnacentral:rRNA from 1 species